rnacentral:rRNA from 1 species
AGGGUUUGAUUAUGGCUCAGAUUGAACGCUGGCGGCAUGCUUUACACAUGCAAGUCGAACGGCAGCAUGAGGAGCUUGCUCCUUGAUGGCGAGUGGCGCACGGGUGAGUAAGACAUCGGAACGUGUCCUUUUGUGGGGGAUAACUGUCCGAAAGGACAGCUAAUACCGCAUAAGACCUGAGGGUGAAAGCGGGGGAUCGCAAGACCUCGCGCGAAAGGAGCGGCCGAUGGCCGAUUAGCUAGUUGGGGAGGUAAAGGCUCACCAAGGCGACGAUCGGUAGCUGGUCUGAGAGGACGACCAGCCACACUGGGACUGAGACACGGCCCAG